rnacentral:SRP_RNA from 1 species
GCCAGGCGUGGUGGUGGAUGCCUGUAAUCCCAGCUACUUGGGAGGCUGAGGCAGGAGAAUCGCUUGAACCCAGGAGGAAGAGAUUGCAGUGAGCCGAGGGCUACUGCACUCUAGUCUGGGUGACAGAGCGAGACUCUGUCUCAA